GAAAUCUGGCUGGUUUACUAGUCCGAGUUGUAAUUUAAAGAAGCGUUUUCGGUGGCAGCCUGGGUAUAAAUCCUUUGGAAUAGGGUAUCAUAGAGGGUGAGAAUCCCGUCUUUGACCUAGUGCAUGCUACUAUGUGAUACGUUUUCAAAGAGUCGAGUUGUUUGGGAAUGCAGCUCAAAAUGGGUGGUAAAUUUCAUCUAAAGCUAAAUAUUGGCGAGAGACCGAUAGCGAACAAGUACCGUGAGGGAAAGAUGAAAAGAACUUUGAAAAGAGAGUUAAACAGUGCGUGAAAUUGUUGAAAGGGAAACGUUUGACACCAGUCAUGUGGGUGGAAAAUCAGUCUUUUGCAUUGGGGAGUUGUAAAGGUUCGGACCGCAAGGCCGGCUUUUGCUUCAUCUUUGGUGUAAGGGAUGCACUUUUUCAUCUACAGGUCAACAUCAGUUUCUUUUGCUGGACAAAACUCCGAGAGAAGGUAGCAGCUUAGGCUGUGUUAUAGCUCUGGAGCGAUACAGUGAAGGGGACUGAGGUUUUCGCAGCGUGUGCUCUCGGGCAAGGCUGGAUGGGUGCUAUGGGAUCGUUCGGGGUACAAUGCCUGGCAUUUUGCUUCGUGUCUUUUCUAUACUCGCUCAACUCAGCUCUUCCACGCUUAGGAUGUUGACUUAAUGGUUUUAAACGACCCGUCUUGAAACACGGACCAAGGAGUCUAACAUAUAUGCAAGUGUUUGGGUGGCAAACCCAUGCGCGUAAUGAAAGUGAACGUAGGUGCGAUCCGCAAGGUGCAGCAUCGACCGAUCUUGAUAUUUUUGGAUAGAUUUGAGUAAGAGCAUAUAUGCUGGGACCCGAAA
rnacentral:rRNA from 1 species